CGACACCCUCACAAGUAGAUGUGCACACGGACACACUAACAUGUAGUUGUGCACACAAAGACAAACUAACAUGUAUAUGUACACAAAGACACACUAACUUGCCGAUGUACACACGGACACACUAACUUGCCGAUGUACACAAAGACACACUAACUUGCCGAUGUACACAAUGACACACUAACAAGUAGAUGUACACAAAGACACACUAACAUGUAGAUGUGCACAGGGACACACUAACAUGAAGAUGUACACAAAGACACACUAACUUGCCGAUGUACACAAAGACACACUAACUUGCCGAUGUACACAAAGACACACUAACUUGCCGAUGUACACAAAGACACACUAACUUGCCGAUGUACACAAAGACACACUAACUUGCCGAUGUACACAAAGACACACUAACUUGCCGAUGUAUACAAAGACACACUAACUUGCCGAUGUAUACAAAGACACACUAACUUGCCGAUGUACACACGGACACACUAACUUGUCGAUGUACACACGGACACACUAACUUGUCGAUGUACACACGGACACACUAACAUGUAUAUACGUACACAAAGACACACUAACAUGUAGAGAAACCAGUCAGAUUUCAAGGCAGGACACUCCACAGAGACUGCUCUCCUUGCUGUCUCAGAGCAACUCCACACUGCUAGAGCCGCCUCUCUCUCCUCUGUCCUCAUCCUUCUGGACCUCUCUGCUGCAUUUGACACGGUCAACCACGAGACCCUUAUUUCCUCCCUUCAGGAACUUUGUGUCACAGGUUCUGCUCUCUCCCUUCUCUCGUCCUACCUCGACGGCUGCACCUACCGGGUCCAGCUUUCAUCCAGGAUAUGGUCAAACCCUACAUCCCAAACCGCAUUCUCCGCUCUGCAUCUGCAAAACUACUCGUUCCUCCCUCACUGAGAGAAAAAAACACUCAACUAGAUCUCGACUCUUUGCUGUCCUUGUCCGGAGUGUGGGUGGAGGAGGGACUCUGACGCAGACUUCUCAGAAAACAAAAAGUCUUUAAUAGUUAAAAGGCAAAAUCAAAAGGCCAAGGGGCAAAAACAGCAGGCAUGAAACUAUGAACAUCCACGACGAUAGACAAUGACGCGACAAGUGACACACUGCUUAAAUACACAAGGGAGGUGCAGGUGAUUGGACACAGGUGGAAACUAUUAGACGAUCACAGGGGAUGACGGGACAAGGCAGGAAGUGAAGUUACCCGGGGACACGAGUGGCAGAAAACUACAAAAUACAACAGGAAGUGAACCACACCGUGACAGUCCUUGCGCCGAAAUGGUGAAAUGCGCUCUCUAAAGACAUCAGGACCACAGAGAGCCCUCGCAUCUUCCGCCGCAAACUAAAGACACACCUCUUCAGACUCUACCUCGACUAAAGACUAACAAAUUGUAGCACUUAAAUUGUACUUGUAACAUCACUCAUCUAUAGCAAAAUGUAAAUUGGCUUAUUUGAUGAAAUUGCACUUUCUUGUUUCUUGUUCUCCUGAGUUUGUACCCUAUGGUUGAAUGCACUUAUUGUACGUCGCUUUGGAUAAAAGCGUCCGCUAAAUGACAUGUAAUGUAAUGUAAUGUAGAUGUACACAAAGACACACUAACAACAUUAACAUCUUAAUAACUUUGUCUUCUUAUCUUUCUUCUCAGGAACUCCAAUUAUUGUGUUAUUAUUGUCAUUAUUGCUAUUUUUAAUAAUGUUAUUAUUAUAAUUGUUAUUAUUAUUAAACGUUUCAUCUGAACAAUAAAAAUGAAACCAAAUGAAUCCGUCUACUUUUCCUCAGAGCAAAGAGAAUCACAUGUUCUUUAUUAGUUGUUGACGUGAAUAAAGUGAAACAACAAUGAUGUUAAGUUAAUGAGCGUUUGUGUAUUUAAUGACACACAAAGGUUUGAGUCGAUUUCAAUCGAUAACUCACUUCCUCCUGUAAUCAGACAUCUCGUCUCAGAAUAACAGCGGAAGAAGAGAAUAUUUAAAGUAGAUGAACAGGUUUCCUAUAUGGAACAUUUGGAUUAAAACAUGAAUGUUGCUAAAAAAUGGAAGUCAGGCAACUCAAAGCACAAACAAAUUAAAUUCUCUACAAAUAAAACUAAUUCAAACCCAGAGUUCAACUAAUGUACUCGCUCCAAUGUUAAUGUAACUUGAUCUCAACCAUCUCUAGUCACUAAAAUCAGCCAACGAAUCAGAGGGUUCGUUCUGGAUGAAUCAUUGAACCUGUAACACAUCUUUGUUAUUAUGCUGUAAUAGUGUAACGAUCAGGCUGCAGGCAGAAGCACCACCCAAACGCAGAGUUUUGAAAACAAAAGGUAGUUUUAAUGAAUCCAAAAUAUCCAAAAUCAAAAAACACAAGGAGGGAAAAAACCCAGACAUAAAGACAUGGAACUCACAGGCAAGAUGAGGACAGACGAGCGAUGAGAGGACCGUCCAAGAAAGCGCUUUUAUUUCGCUAUUUGGAGGUGUAUGCAGGAAGUCUUAUUCUGAAAGGACACAAUUGGGUUUCCCGAAAUGCGGAUGUAUUGUUGGUGAUAUUGGCGACUUUUUAACCAAUAGUGUGUGAAUCACAUUUUUUUUUUGCCUGUGCAAUUAUUGAGACUGAUCGGACUCGAAAAUAGUAAAAACGCUAAUACAUUAAUAGAGGUGUUUCAAUCAGCACACUGUAGUUUCAUGGUGUAAACUAGUUCCAACGACAAUGUCGUACUAAUCCUGUGUAUGUGGCCCACCUGCGAUUUGGGAGCGUUUUUCUCAUCAUGAAUGAAAUUCAGGCACGUGCACAGACAUUUUGGGGGGCAGGUGCUCAAACCAAAAUAAAAGGGCACAGAUUGCCCAAAUUAUUUAUGAAAUUAAAAUAAUAUUAAUAAAUAAAUAAAAAUCACAAUAUUUUCAACCUGUUAAAACUAACUCAAUGUAUCUAACUGAAUAAAUACAUGUAUAACAGGCAACAACUGACAAAACAAGGCCAUAUUGGACCUAAGCAAUAAGGUACUUGAGCAGAGGCAGUACUUUAUCGUUAUAUACACAUCGUUAUAUUUUACACUCAUAAAGUACCCCAAUAUACCUCACCAGACUGCCAUGUAGCUCAACUUAAGACUUAAAUUAAGCAAAACUAGUGAACCAGUGAACUUGUCUAAUUUGUAAAAUGAAUGAAAAGUAUCUGCCUGCCUGUAUCUCUUCUCUCUCUCUCUUCAUUGAACGUCAGUAAACAGCUGGAUAAGGCUUUGAAAUCACGGAUUUUCAAGUUUUUUGUUUGUUUAUUUUUUUGGAAACGUCGGACCAGUUGCGAUUAAUGUUUUCAUAAUGUUUUUUGGAGGUUUGCACAAACACCUUCAUCACCUGUGUGUCGAAUGCUGCAGCCGCUUGGCGCUCAGCGCUGCACGAGCACCAAGGAGGAGGAGGAGGAGGAGGAGGACAAACCGUGUAGCUGUGUACAAAAAGGGAAACCAUCAUUGGUUGUGUUUGAGGGAACUGUCACACAUUGACAUACCAUGAAUGGAUGGUAUCUUCUCCUUUGGUGUCAUGGUACGGUCACCUCUCGUUAAAGCACAGGAACACUCUGGUCCAGCAGGCUGAUUGGUGAGUCCAUAACACAUCUGGCUCCAUUGUAAAACCUUUGCACAAUGGAUUUCAGCUCGAGUCCAGACGGACGUAUAUGGUCCCGUGGUGCAGAACAAAGCGCUGAAAGAACUCAAGUGAAUAGCAACAGAGCAGAGGAUGUUUUCAGGACUGCUACUGACAGUCUGGAUGAGUUCACAGAGGCUGUAACUUACUACAUCGGCUUCUGUGAGGACAGCUGUGUACCAUCAUGCACCAGGGUGAGUUUCAACAACGACAAACCCUGGUUCACAGCGGAGCUCAGAACACUACGUCUGCAGAAGGAUCAGGCAUUUAGGAGCGGAGACAAAGACUUGUACACAGAGGCAAAAUACAAGUUUAGCAAGGCGGUGAGAGACGCUAAACGACUGUACUCUGUGAAACUCCAACAACAGUUCUCAGCAAGUGACUCUGCUUCGGUCUGGAGAGGCCUCAAACACCUCACCAACUACAAGCCAAAAACCCCCCACUCCAUGAAUGACCUCCGCCUGGCAGACAAGCUCAAUGAGUUCUACUGCAGAUUUGAAAGACAAUGUCCUGAUCCCAUCCCCCACAGC
ensembl:lncRNA